CCCCUCGAAGGCAGCGCAUCUCCUCCUCCCAGCGCUCCUUCAUCGAUUGGCAACUCUCCUCCUCCCUGUUGCCAAUCCGGAUCAAGAGCCCGAUGCAUCCUCCUCCCGCAUCGGGCUCUUCUU
rnacentral:sRNA from 1 species